rnacentral:tRNA from 2 species
GGGAUGUUAGCUCAGUUGGUUUAGAGCAUCGCCUUGACAGGGCGGGGGUCGUGGGUUCGAAUCCCUCACAUCCCA